rnacentral:rRNA from 1 species
AUUGAACGCUGGCGGCAGGCCUAACACAUGCAAGUCGAACGAGUGGCGGACGGGUGAUUAAUGUCUGGGACACUGCCUGAUGGAGGGGGGUAACUACUGGAAACGGUAUCUAAUACCGCAUACCAUCGGAUGUGCCCAGAUGGGAUUAGCUUGUUGGUGGGGUAACGGCUCACCAAGGCGACGAUCCCUAGCUGGUCUGAGAGGAUGACCAGCCACACUGGAACUGAGAGACGGUCCAGAAUCCUACGGGAGGCAGCAGUGGGGAAUAUGGCACAAUGGGCGCAAGCCUGAUGCAGCCAUGCCGCGUGUAUGAAGAAGGCCUUCGGGUUGUAAAGUACUUUCAGCGGGGAGGCGUUACCCGCAGAAGAAGCACCGGCUAACUCCGUGCCAGCAGCCGCGGUAAUUC